rnacentral:rRNA from 1 species
UACGGGGGUGCGAGCGUUGUCCGGAAUCACUGGGCGUAAAGGGCGCGUAGGUGGUCUGAUAAGGGUGUGGUGAAGUCGGGCUCACCCGGAUCUGCCGUGCCGACUGUCAGACUCGAGGACUGUAGAGGCAGGCGGAAUUCCGGGUGUAGCGGUGGAAUGCGUAGAGAUCCGGAGGAAGACCGGUGGCGAAGGCGGCCUGCGGCCAGUUCUGAC